rnacentral:rRNA from 1 species
AACGGACGCUGGCGGCAUGCCUAACACAUGCAAGUCGAACGAGACCUUCGGGUCUAGUGGCGCACGGGUGCGUAACGCGUGGGAACCUGCCCUUAGGUUCGGAAUAACUCCCCGAAAGGGGUGCUAAUACCGGAUAAUGUCUUCGGACCAAAGAUUUAUCGCCUUAGUAUGGGCCCGCGUUGGAUUAGCUAGUUGGUAGGGUAAAAGCCUACCAAGGCGACGAUCCAUAGCUGGUAUGAGAGGAUGAUCAGCCACACUGGGACUGAGACACGGCCCAGACUCCUACGGGAGGCAGCAGUGGGUGACAUUGGACAGUGGGCGAAAGGCUGAUGCAGCAAUGCCCGGAGAGUGAUGAAGGCAGUAGGGUUGUAAAGCUCAUUUAACCGGGAUGAUAAUGACAGUACCGGGAGAAUAAGCUCCGGCUAACUACGUG